GGAGUCUAGCAUGUGUGCGAGUCAUUGGGUUUAAUUUAUACCCAUAGGCGUAAUGAAAGUGAAGGUUAACCUUGCGUUGGCCGAGGGAAGAUGAGAGGCGCAACGUCGUCACUUCGCAUUCCCGGGGCGUCUCGUUCUAAUUUGUAGAAGAGGCGCACCAAGAGCAUACACGCUGGGACCCGAAAGAUGGUGAACUAUGCCUGGUCAGGACGAAGUCAGGGGAAACCCUGAUGGAGGUCCGUAGCGAUUCUGACGUGCAAAUCGAUCGUCGGAACUGGGUAUAGGGGCGAAAGACUUAUCGAACCAUCUAGUAGCUGGUUCCCUCCGAAGUUUCCCUCAGGAUAGCUGGCGCUCGUUUAACGAGUCUCAUUCGGUAAAGCGAAUGAUUAGAGGCAUUGGGGUCGAAACGGCCUCAACCUAUUCUCAAACUUUAAAUGGGUGAGAUCUCCGGCAUGCUUGAAUAUAUGAAGCCGUGAGAUAUGUGUGUCGUACUUUUUUGUGCGCAUACUGUGGAUUAGAGUGCCAAGUGGGCCAUUUUUGGUAAGCAGAACUGGCGCUGUGGGAUGAACCAAACGUUGAGUUAAAGCGCCUAAAUCGACGCUUAUCGGAUACCAUGAAAGGCGUUGGUAACUUAAGACAGCAGGACGGUGGCCAU
rnacentral:rRNA from 1 species